UACGUAGGGGGCAAGCGUUUGUCCGGAAUCAUUGGGCGUAAAGCGCGUGUAGGCGGUUCGGUAAGUCUGCUGUGAAAGUCCAGGGCUCAACCCUGGGAUGCCGGUGGAUACUGUCGGACUAGAGUACGGAAGAGGCGAGUGGAAUUCCCGGUGUAGCGGUGAAAUGCGCAGAUAUCGGGAGGAACACCAAUUGCGAAGGCAGCUCGCUGGGACGUUACUGACGCUGAGGAGCGAAAGCGUGGGGAGCGAACAGG
rnacentral:rRNA from 1 species